rnacentral:rRNA from 1 species
UACGUAGGUGGCAAGCGUUGUCCGGAUUUAUUGGGUUUAAAGGGUGCGUAGGCGGCCCCGUAAGUCAGUGCUGAAAUAUCCCGGCUUAACCGGGAGGGUGGCAUUGAUACUGCAGGGCUUGAGUGAAGUCGAGGUAGGCGGAAUUGACGGUGUAGCGGUGAAAUGCUUAGAUAUCGUCAAGAACACCGAUAGUGAAGACAGCUUACUAGGCUUAUACUGACGCUGAGGCACGAAAGUGCGGGGAUCAAACAGG